UACGGAGGGUGCGAGCGUUGUCCGGAAUCAUUGGGCGUAAAGGGCGCGUAGGUGGCUUCUUAAGCGUGCGGUGAAAGCCUGGGGCUCAACCCCGGGUCGGCCGUGCGAACUGGGGGGCUGGAGCACUGUAGAGGCAGGCGGAAUUCCGGGUGUAGCGGUGGAAUGCGUAGAGAUCCGGAAGAACACCGGUGGCGAAGGCGGCCUGCUGGGGCAGUUGCUGACACUGAGGCGCGACAGCGUGGGGAGCAAACAGG
rnacentral:rRNA from 1 species